UGCAAGGCCAAUGGAAUGAUUUUUUCUCAGUAGAUCAUAACCAAGGAAAUGAAUCUCAUGAGGUCGAUGGUGUACCAAUUUUGAAACAGAAGGAUUUAAAUAAAGAAGAAGACGCUGCACUACCUAUACUUUUUGACAGAUGAAGAGGAACAUCGCCAAAAAGUAUCUGCUGAAGAAGAUGAAGUACAUAAAUUAACAAAUUUUGAUUUACAUGAAACUAAUGUAAAGAAGGAUAAGCAUCCAGCAGGUCGUGGUAACAAACCUAUAAUAAUCGAAGAAAUUGACUUAAUCAAACAAACUAAUUUAUUGAACAAAAAAGAUAAGUAGAUUUCAGAAUUAAAAUAUGAACUCAAAUGUUUAGACAGAAAAUAUCAAAAUUUAAAAAAUGAUUUCAAGGAUAUAAAAAAAGAAAACAAUGAUUUGCGAGAAAAAUUUUUAAACUACAAGAUAAUAUUACGCAUGAUAUAAU